GUCUACAGCUAUGCCACCCUGAACAUGCCUGAUCUCGUCUGAUCGCGGAAGCAAAGCAGGGUUGGGCCUGGUUAGUACUUGGAUGGGAGACCACCUAGGAAUACCAGGUGCUGUAGGUA
rfam:Pteropus alecto contig110699, whole genome shotgun sequence.